rnacentral:rRNA from 1 species
UGCGAAUGGCUCAUUAAAUCAGCUAUGGUUCCUUAGAUCGUACAUACUACAUGGAUAACUGUAGUAAUUCUAGAGCUAAUACAUGCCAAUAUGCCCUGACCCGCGAGGGAACGGGUGGCUUUAUUAGAACAGAACCAACCGGGGUGGCUUGCUGCUCCGUUGCUCUGUGAUGACUCUGGAUAACUUCACUGAUCGCAGUCGGCCUUGUGUCGGCGACGGAUCUUUCAAAUGUCUGCCCUAUCAAUUGUCGAUGGUAGGUGACCUGCCUACCAUGGUGAUAACGGGUAACGGGGAAUCAGGGUUCGAUUCCGGAGAGGGAGCCUGAGAAACGGCUACCACUUCCAAGGAAGGCAGCAGGCACGCAAAUUACCCACUCCCGGCACGGGGAGGUAGUGACGAAAAAUACGGAUACGGGACUCAUUUGAGGCUCCGUAAUUCGAAUGAGUACAAUUUAAAUCCUUUAACGAGGAUCAACUGGAGGGCAAGUCUGGUGCCAGCAGCCGCGGUAACUCCAGCUCCAGAAGCGUAUAUUAAAGUUGUUGCAGUUAAAAAGCUCGUAGUUGGAUCUGGGUCGUAUGACUGCUUGCUGUAAUCUGUAUUCUUGGUCGGUUUACCGUCCGAGUUUAUGGGUCAGCUUUGUGGUUGUGCAGCCUUUCUGCCGUGUCUGUUUCGACAGGUGCUGGCUUCCGGUGGAUUCGUUCUGCUGGUUUGUUGGCGUGCUUCCGUAUGCCUUUAACCGGGUGUCGGGGGCGGACGGCACGUUUACUUUGAACAAAUUUGAGUGCUCAAAGCAGGCCUGUGUGCCUGAAAAUUCUUGCAUGGAAUAAUGGAAUAGGACUUCGGUUCUAUUUUGUUGGUUUUCGGAUCCGAAGUAAUGGUUAAGAGGGACAGACGGGGGCAUUUGUAUGGCGGUGUUAGAGGUGAAAUUCUUGGAUCGCCGCCAGACAAACUACAGCGAAAGCAUUUGCCAAGGAUGUUUUCAUUGAUCUGGAGCGAAAGUCAGAGGUUCGAAGACGAUCAGAUACCGUCCUAGUUCUGACCAUAAACGAUGCCAACUGACGAUCCGUGGUGGUUCUAUUCUUGGCCCCACGGGCAGUCCCCGGGAAACCUUUAAGUGUUUGGGCUCCGGGGGAAGUAUGGUUGCAAAGCUGAAACUUAAAGGAAUUGACGGAAGGGCACCACCAGGAGUGGAGCCUGCGGCUUAAUUCGACUCAACACGGGAAAACUCACCCGGCCCGGACACUGUGAGGAUUGACAGAUUGAGAGCUCUUUCUUGAUUCGGUGGUUGGUGGUGCAUGGCCGUUCUUAGUUGGUGGAGCGAUUUGUCUGGUUAAUUUCGAUAACGAACGAGACUUUGGCCUGCUAAAUAGUAUCCCUGUCCUCUGUGCUCGUGCAGGCGGCGGUGCUCAUUGCCCUCAAAGGUGAUGGUGCUGUUUGCCGGCGUGUACGGUGCAGGUGUAUACUUCUUAGAGGGACAAGCGGCUUUUAGUCGCACGAAAUUGAGCAAUAACAGGUCUGUGAUGCCCUUAGAUGUCCGGGGCCGCACGUGCGCUACAAUGACGGUUUCAGCGAGUUUGGGAACCUGGCCCGAAAGGGUUGGGCAAACUGAAUCAUAACCGUCGUGACUGGGAUCGGGGCUUGCAAUUGUUCCCCGUGAACGAGGAAUUCCUGGUAAGUGCAAGUCAUAAGCUUGCGCUGAUUACGUCCCUGCCCUUUGUACACACCGCCCGUCGCUACUACCGAUUGAAUGGUUUAGUAAGGUCCUCGGAUUGGUGCUAUUGUAGUUGCUUCGGCAGCUCGACCAGCGCUUGAGAAGACGACCAAACUUGAUCAUUUAAAAGGAAGUAAAAAGUC